GGGGCAGUAGCUCAGGUGGCCAGAGCACUCCCCUGAUAAGGGAGAGGUCGGUGGUUCGAAUCCACCCUGCCCCA
rnacentral:tRNA from 2 species